rnacentral:lncRNA from 1 species
UCAUUUCUUUUAGGUGCUUUAAUUUUGUUACCAAGGCACGAGAUCUGUUAUUUAUGUUUCAAAAACACUUUCUAAAGUCGUCAUAAUAAAAUAGAAAAUUAUGUAAUUAAAAAAGACGAAAAUAGAGAAUUUGAAUAUAUUUUUGGCCAUCGCGGAUGAUUUUUUUUGUUUUAAAUAUUUUAUCUUCUUAUGAUUUACAAAAAAUCGUAAUUAUAAAUGUUUAUCUAUUUUCCUCUAAUACUACUUCUCUUGUUCUUCUCUCUGAAGUCCUCCCUGUAAAAAGACGAAAGCAAACUUAAAUUCGGUGAAGAAAAAAUAUCUCAAAAAUAAAAAGAUGCAGAAAAUGUCAGAUCUAGAACUGGAACUGAAGAGAGAGAGAGAAAGAGAGUUGACCGUACAUGAAAACGAAGAAGGCACUCGCAGGCCUCUUCGGCUUGUUCGGAUCCUUUCCGGCUUUCUUCGCCGGCUUCUUGCUCGCUCCGGCACUCUUGCUUUUCAACCCUUCAAAAUUCAAAAUUCAAAAAAAAUCAGCAAAAGUUCAAACUUCAAACGCACAAAGCACAGCAGAAAUCAAAACCCGACAGAACAAAUCACAGUUCUCCGAUCGAACCGAUGCAAUCGGAGAGUUAUCAAAGCACAACAGAGCACAAAACUCACUUCGUAUCGCGUUUGGGAGCAGCAGCUCUGGCUUUACCCAUGGCGAACCUGCAAACACACAAAAAAGUCAAAAAUCGGUGGGAACCGGCGAGAAUCGUUUGGAAACGGUCAAAAACUGCUCGCUUAGGACCGAGUCAGAGCGGCGGAGGCGCGAGGUUACCUAGGGUUUUCGAGAACAAGACGAAGACGCAGAGAGAGAGAGAGAGUAAACUACGCCUUCGUCUUUAUGUGAAAACGCAGCGGGAUCGUAUUCGUACACAAAUAUGUUCAUAUCAGAUUGUCUUCUAUUAAACCACGAGAAUAUGAUUGUAUUUGUAUCGCUAAAAUUUAACCUUAA